rnacentral:rRNA from 1 species
AUUGAACGCUGGCGGAAUGCUUUACACAUGCAAGUCGAGCGGCAGCGCGGGGGCAACCCUGGCGGCGAGCGGCGAACGGGUGAGUAAUACAUCGGAACGUGUCCUUAAGUGGGGGAUAGCUCGGCGAAAGCCGGAUUAAUACCGCAUAAGCUCUGAGGAGGAAAGCGGGGCUCCGUAAGGACCUCGCGCUGUUGGAGCGGCCGAUGUCGGAUUAGCUAGUUGGUGGGGUAAAGGCCCACCAAGGCGACGAUCCGUAGCUGGUCUGAGAGGAUGAUCAGCCACACUGGAACUGAGACACGGUCCAGACUCCUACGGGAGGCAGCAGUGGGGAAUUUUGGACAAUGGGGGCAACCCUGAUCCAGCCAUUCCGCGUGAGUGAAGAAGGCCUU